rnacentral:rRNA from 1 species
AGUCGAGCGGAUGACGGGAGCUUGCUCCCUGAUUUAGCGGCGGACGGGUGAGUAAUGCCUAGGAAUCUGCCUGGUAGUGGGGGAUAACGUUCCGAAAGGAACGCUAAUACCGCAUACGUCCUACGGGAGAAAGCAGGGGACCUUCGGGCCUUGCGCUAUCAGAUGAGCCUAGGUCGGAUUAGCUAGUUGGUGAGGUAAUGGCUCACCAAGGCGACGAUCCGUAACUGGUCUGAGAGGAUGAUCAGUCACACUGGAACUGAGACACGGUCCAGACUCCUACGGGAGGCAGCAGUGGGGAAUAUUGGACAAUGGGCGAAAGCCUGAUCCAGCCAUGCCGCGUGUGUGAAGAAGGUCUUCGGAUUGUAAAGCACUUUAAGUUGGGAGGAAGGGUUGUAGAUUAAUACUCUGCAAUUUUGACGUUACCGACAGAAUAAGCACCGGCUAACUUCGUGCCAGCAGCCGCGGUAAUACGAAGGGUGCAAGCGUUAAUCGGAAUUACUGGGCGUAAAGCGCGCGUAGGUGGUUCGUUAAGUUGGAUGUGAAAUCCCCGGGCUCAACCUGGGAACUGCUUUCAAAACUGSYGAGCUAGAGUACGGUAGAGGGUGGUGGAAUUUCCUGUGUAGCGGUGAAAUGCGUAGAUAUAGGAAGGAACACCAGUGGCGAAGGCGACCACCUGGACUGAUACUGACACUGAGGUGCGAAAGCGUGGGGAGCAAACAGGAUUAGAUACCCUGGUAGUCCACGCCGUAAACGAUGUCAACUAGCCGUUGGAAUCCUUGAGAUUUUAGUGGCGCAGCUAACGCAUUAAGUUGACCGCCUGGGGAGUACGGCCGCAAGGUUAAA